CGCUCGCCCACACACUCCUCCGCUUUCCGCCAAUAGGGAUAUAUAUCAGGGAGCCGCUCUCGGACAUGACGGUAAUUUGCAUAGAUAACGCUCGAAUGGUGUCAUCAUCCACCUGAUGAAGAUAGUCACUCAAGGUUGACACGUAUCGUGAUUGCUUUACUCCUCUCUCCGUCUAGUCAACACACACCAUCACUCGGCUGUCUCUCUUCCCUCUUUUCUCAUUUAGAUAAAGCAUCGGCCCGUUGAGCUACCAGCAUCAUCAAUCUUCUCCGAGGAGGAAGCUACCCGCGAGGAACGAGGCCUGCGAGGAGAAACCAGUUCGAAGCGACUCCUCAAGGGAGACUGUGUAGUAUUACGAGGUACCAAGGAUAAAACAAAACAAAAACUUUAUAUCAAGAUGAAAAGUCUACUUGCUGGUGUUCUUAUUGUGAUAGUGGCCUUGGCAUCGAUGCUCUCAUGUUGCCACGCCGAAAGGAUGGGCGAUGGCAAGGACGAGUAUUACGAACUAAUCGACUGGUUAAGUGCUGUAAAACGGGGAUCAAAGGGUGGACUUGGACGAUCUUUCUGUAAAGUGGACAAGGACAACGCACACAACUGUCGCCGUGGCUACACCUGCAACGCCUUCCUCGAUGGUGGACAGUGCACUAGGAGCACGAGGUGGUGCGUUUGCCGCCCUCAUGAUGAAAUCAGUUGGCUAUUGUAGAGACCUAACUUAGACCAAAAUUCCCACCCGGCAUCUUUUCCCUUCAAGACACACACAUCACAAGACUAUUAAGACCUUGCCAGAUUAGACGUUUUUAUUUAGGUUUUUCUUACCGAGUUGACUACGUUUACACCCUGGCCAGAUGAUUGACGAUCAUUGGGAUUUUAGAAGGAUGUCUUCUUCAUUGCAUGGACCUGCAUUUCAUCGACACGUCAAAUGAUCGCCUGUGAGAAGGACUAUAUAUGAAUCAACUGUCACAAAGAACUUAAGCAUCCGAAUCCCCUAAAUUCUGAGAACUAGUAUGUAGACUUCGAAUGAAAGAUUAUCGAUUAGCAAGUCCGGAUCGAAUGAUUGCCUAUACAAUAGCGAGUUUUUGCACUGCUACGGGGAACGAAUUCAAGAACGCAGUAAAUGUAUUUAUAAAAAAAUGUCAGAUGUCAACAAGCACCUCGGAGGCAUUUGUCGAAAAUUGGUGAUCCGGAAUAUAAGUUCGUCCAAAGUUUCGGAGCUUAAGAAAAAUUGCAAAUUCUGGGUUUGUCCGGAGUCCGAUUAUCGACAAAGAAUUCCCGGUUGCUAAAUGUCAUGAAGGCGUUUGAGAGUACAUUUUCUAUGUUCUUCAAAGUUUUCUGCGUCGCGGUGCGAAAACUCUCUACAUUCAAAGAGACCCUCUUCGUCCUGAUGGUGUAAAAACAGUGUGGGUGUCAUGCGAAAGCCUGCUUCAAUAAUCUUAUUACACAUUCCUAUUAAAAUUAUUUCACAUAUGAUGUAAUUUAUCAAGAGAUUGUAGAUAUUAUUUCAUAAUUGUUUCAAAUAUAUUCACAUUUUUAAAAGUAAUUAGAGUUUCAGUUUACAAAGAAUAAAAAUGUGAUGAUAAUGACGAACCAGAACAUGUCCCUAACCUUUAACGGGGAAUUAAUAUAAUUAAUAGGAAGACACAUUUGCAAAUAGACCAUGGAGGAGAUACCUUCAAUCUUGUCAAACUAUUGAAAUGGGAACUCAUUAGGUACGAACUAUAAUGCAAAAGAUGCUAGUUUGUGAUAUGCCAUUCAAAAUAAAUAGCACAAAAAGCUUUACAGGAUUAUGAUUUAAUCAGGAGUGGGCGUAUGCCAUGAACCUUAAGGUCUCCCAUCUCCCGACUAUUGUACUUCAAACUUCAAGAAAUUAAACACUGAAAGUAUUUUGGUUUGUUAUGGAUAGUAAUAUGACUUCGGUGAUCGUUCUUUUUUAGAAUCGAAUUUUUGCCCUUUCAUGGUAAAAAUAAAUGUCACUUUUAGCAAAACCUCCGUCUAAAUAUUUUAGUGUAUGAAUAUUUAUAACAACGACUCACGUCCACGCAUUUCGUUAUAUUACCGGUGAUAAAUCCUAAUGGAUUGAAAAUUGCUGGGAUUUGAAAAGAAUGAUUGCCCGCUGUCCAAGUUCAUGUAAUCUUUCUAAAUUGAAAUAAUAUUAUUCUUUACUCCGAGCUAGAGCUAAAUUAUACCGUUCUUUUUUUCAUUUCAUUGAUCAUUUAUUUUUUUAAAAGAAUACUAUUGUUAUAAUAUUAUAUUGUUAGUCUCACUAUUUCGUUGUGGCUAUUAGUGCAAGGUUGCAUAAUAUUUAUGAAAAGUGAACUGCAUUAUUUGCAAAGCCACUUACAAUCCUAAUACAUAAAUUGAUUAAUUUAAGAGACUUGUGACAAAAUUAAUGCUGACCAGUUCCUGGUUCGAUCGACCACGAUUUCGUGACAAACUUGUGUUUCAUUCAAUAGCGAGAAUUGCUAGGACUGAUCACAUAUGAAUGAUCAUUGGGCAUUCUUAUAUUUCUUUGUCAAAGAAGGUUCAUUCUCUGAUUGUACAAUUUACAUUCCUUUGCUAAUUAACAACAUUAUUUUUUUUCGUUUCUCUAAACCGAGAUAGAUUCAUUCCAUACGUCGUGUAAACAAGGACAAUAUUCAUGUUUCACCUGUUAAAUGUCCGCUCAUAUCAAUAUUUCAACCAUGCCUAUGAAAAGAAAAAAUAUUAUUAUAAUUUUGAUCGGAUCUUCAGAUCACUUUUUCCAAAGUCUUUCUUAUAAUGUCUCAAGUGACAAAAAAAGUUACUCCUCGUUUAUUAUUAACCCUAAUGAUGUUAAUUGAAUGACAUGGUCAUAGAUGAUGUAUAUGGUGAAAAUUUCCUCUAAUUUCAAAACUAAACGGUAAUUAUUUCUGUUGAAUUCAUUAUUGAAUUCAUGUUCCUGCACUUACAUUAUCAUCCCAACAAUGUUUUUAUCCUUUUCUGAGAUGUUAUUUCAGUUUAAUGCAAAUAAAGUAUCUUUUGAAUUAUA